GACGAACGCUGGCGGCGUGCCUAAUACAUGCAAGUAGAACGCUGAAGCAGGAGCUUGCUCUUCUGGCUGAGUUGCGAACGGGUGAGUAACGCGUAGGUAACCUGCCUGGUAGUGGGGGAUAACUAUUGGAAACGAUAGCUAAUACCGCAUAAUAUACGUUGUUGCAUGACAACUGUUUGAAAGGUGCAAUUGCCUCACUACCAGAUGGACCUGCGUUGUAUUAGCUAGUUGGUGGGGUAACGGCUCACCAAGGCGACGAUACAUAGCCGACCUGAGAGGGGGAUCGGCCACACUUGGACUUAGACACGGCCCAGACUUCUACGGGAGGCAGCAGUAGGGAAUCUUCGGCAAUGGACGAAAGUCUUACCGAACAACGCCGCGUGAGUGAAGAAGGUUCUCGGAUCGUAAAGCUCUGUUUGAAGAGAAGAACGAGUGUGAGAGUGGAAAGUUCACACUGUGACGGUAUCUAAACAGAAAGGGACGGCUAACUACGUG
rnacentral:rRNA from 1 species